UACAGAGGUCUCAAGCGUUGUUCGGAUUCAUUGGGCGUAAAGGGCCAGUAGGCGGCCAACUAAGUCCGACGUGAAAUCCCAAGGCUUAACCUUGGAACUGCGUCGGAUACUGGAUGGCUUGAAUUCGGGAGAGGGAUGCAGAAUUCCAGGUGUAGCGGUGAAAUGCGUAGAUAUCUGGAGGAAUACCGGUGGCGAAGGCGGCAUCCUGGACCGACAUUGACGCUGAACGGCGAAAGCUAGGGGAGCAAACGGG
rnacentral:rRNA from 1 species